UUAGGAAUAUUCGUCAAUGGGGGAAACCCUGAACGAGCAAUGCCGCGUGAACGAUGAAGGCCCUAUGGGUUGUAAAGUUCUGUUGCAUGGGACGAACGAUUAGGAUAGGAAAUGAUCUUAAUGUGACGGUACCAUGCCAGAAAGCUCCGGCUAACUACGUGCCAGCAGCCGCGGUAAUACGUAGGGAGCAAGCGUUAUCCGGAUUUAUUGGGCGUAAAGGGUGCGUAGGCGGCUUGUUAAGUAUGAGAUUAAAGCCCGAGGCUUAACCUCGGUUCGUUUCAUAAACUGGCAGGCUUGAGUGUGGCAGAGGUAAACGGAAUUUCUAGUGUAGCGGUUAAAUGCGUAGAUAUUAGAAGGAACACCAGUGGCGAAGGCGGUUUACUGGGCCAUAACUGACGCUGAGGCACGAAAGCGUGGGGAGCAAAUA
rnacentral:rRNA from 1 species